rnacentral:rRNA from 1 species
GACGAACGCUGGCGGCGUGCUUAACACAUGCAAGUCGAACGGAAAGGCCCUGCUUUUGUGGGGUGCUCGAGUGGCGAACGGGUGAGUAACACGUGUGUAACCUGCCCUUGACUUUGGGAUAACUUCAGGAAACUGGGGCUAAUACCGGAUAGGAGCUCCUGCUGCAUGGUGGGGGUUGGAAAGUUUCGGCGGUUGGGGAUGGACUCGCGGCUUAUCAGCUUGUUGGUGGGGUAGUGGCUUACCAAGGCUUUGACGGGUAGCCGGCCUGAGAGGGUGACCGGCCACAUUGGGACUGCGAUACGGCCCAGACUCCUACGGGAGGCAGCAGUGGGGAAUAUUGCACAAUGGGCGGAAGCCUGAUGCAGCAACGCCGCGUGCGGGAUGACGGCCUUCGGGUUGUAAACCGCUUUCGCCUGUGACGAAGCGUGAGUGACGGUAAUGGGUAAAGAAGCACCGGCUAACUACGUG